UUUUUUUUUUUUUUUUAGAAAUCAGAACUUUCUAAGGCACAGAAAGCUCAUCAGGUCUUAACUUUCAUAGGAUUCUGUUCCAAUGAUGUGGCUGUAUCACCUAAGUGGACACAACAGCCAGAGUUUGCUAUUAUAUGCUCAAGGCCCCCUAUUCACUAAUAAGGUUAAUCAAGACAAAGUUAACUGUCCAAAGUUUCUUGUAAGGGAGGAAAACAACACAACAGAGGGGACUCAGCAGCUGCCUACUUUCCUUUCUAUUCCCUGGCCUUUCUGAGGCCAACAAAAAGGACAAACCCUAAUCUUGUGCAAUUCCCACACAUGAACUGUGCUGUUUUGGACUAAUGCAGGUUUCUUUUAUCUUUACUGGCUUUGAGGAGACAUCAAAUUUUCUUCUGGAUGAGCUCUGUGGCUCUACGUAGCCAGCAGGCUUAGGCUUGAGGCCCAGAGCACCCUGGAGGCCACAUGUGGUUUCAUCUGGACAAAUACUUUCAAACAAAUUCCUUGGCUUUUCAUCAAAAUUUCUGAGAUGACAGGCAGUUGCCACCCACGUAGUAAUAUGAUGUACAGCCCUAAACCGAGUGCCUUACAGGGUAUGGGUGGUAUAAACAAGUGAGACUGGUGAAAUUAUAACAUUAUUAAUUAUAACAUUAUCUUAGAUUUUGGAUUGCCAACUUACUAUAACAUUAAACUACUGUAGUUCUUUUGUAAUGCACCCAAAGCUUUAAAAAAAAAAUCUCCUUGACACACCCUUUAGAGAAUUAAAAUACAGUAGUAAAGCCUAAAAGACUCUGCCUAAGUAUAUUUUAUAACAUAAAAAGUAAAAUAAAGAAUGUGCCAAGAUUCUAAGUGUUCACAAUUUCUAGUUACUCCAGUAUGAGCCAAGAAAUUGAUGACAAUUGACCUUGUGCUUUUAAAAAUUAAAUGAAAUGGAGAAUUCUAAAAAAGUAAAAUGUAAGCCAAGGGCCUUCAGCAGAACAUGCUCUUUGUAAAAGAUACAUUUAUUCUAUCAUCAUUUAGUCUUAUGUUUCUAGUAUUCUCUCAGAAGCUUAAGUAUAUUUUAAGCAAUUACAUGGCAUUGAUUUAGCAUCUGGUAUUGGGGGAUUUUUUUAGACUGAGGUAUUUUUCACGGAAAUUCAGUUCAGUUCAAUUAUAAUGAGUGUUUAGAUUGAAAUAUGUUUUUAAUGAUUUAUUUAUUUGUUUUAGAGAGAUAAAUCACACAUGUGAGUGGGGGGGAGGGAUAGAAGGAGAGCGAGAGAGAGAAAGAGUCUCAAGCAAGCUCCCCACUGAGUGUGGAGCCCAACACGGGACCCUGUCUCAGGACCUUCAGAUCAUGACCUGAGCCAAAAAUCAAGAGUUGGAUGUUCAACUGACUGAGCCACCCAGGCACUCCUAGAUUGAUAUUUUAUCAUUAAGAUCCUUUUAAUACACACAUUGAGACUAAUUUUCUUAAAAUAGAUUUUAAAAACUGUUUUAAAUUAUUAGAUUCUUUUAAAAGUCAUUUCAGAUUUCAUGUGUGCUAUAUAGUUUAUUCAAAUGUUUAAGAGAAAACUAAAUCUAAAAUUAUUAUAUUUGCUAACCAAUAUUUUUCUUAGGAUCUUCUGUGGUAUGACCUUUCACCACCCCCUCCACCUCACAUAUUGAACUUUUGCUUUUCUAUUGUGUGUCUUCAAGAUCACAUUUUCCUUCUUCAUCCUUCUCCUAUGCCCAUGUCUUAUUAAACUUAAGAUGUCAUUGUAGAUAUAUCAUUUCAGGUACCAUUAAGAAAAAAAAAAUCUUAACAAACUGUCACAAUCCUUUCUUAUCACUUAGAAUUUUUUAAAAGAUUUUAUUAUUUAUUCAUGAGAAACACAGAGAGGCAGUGACAUAGGCAGAGGGAGAAGCAGCUCCCCGCAGGGAGUCUGAUGCAGAACUCUAUCCCAGGACCCUGGGAUCAUGCCCUGAGCCAAAGACAGACACUCAACCUCUGAGCCACCCAGGCAUCUCUCACUUAGAAUUUUUAUUUUAUAUGAUUUUCAAGCCCUUUUCAACUUAAGAUGCAGAUUUCUUCAUGUAUUUUUAUGUGAAAUAAAAAGAUUAAAGUUAAAGUAAUCCUAAAAUGUCUUUACAUUCAGAGCUAGACUCAAACCCAGCUCAUUGUGGAGGCAUUCAUAACUCUAACCCCACUCAAAACUUCCCAUUGCCCACAGAACCCUAUGUGGUGUUCUGUCACAUUUGCUCUCUUUUUCAGAAUAAAUUCUUAUGAACCAUGCUGUAAGACUCCUCUUUGAUAUUGCUUGGCACAGCUUUCCACAAAGAGUUGGGGUGAUGCCCUUCUGAGAAAUUAGAGCAAAAUUAAAAAAAAAAGGAAUAGGCACCAAAGUGCCUAUUUUGAUGGCUUACUGAACAAAUCUAGUUUGAUCAUUGGAUGUACAAAAAUUUUCCUUAUAUUAUAGUCCUUAUCCUCCCCCUCCAACAUCAACCUAUGAAAUCCACAGCCUGUUGGAUUUCAUUCCCAACUGAUGCUCAAUUGGUGUAGCUUAGAUAUUUGUGUGGAAAUUUACUAAUGUGACUCCCCUUCCAUCUAAUGGGGAAAAAGUUUUGUUCCUAUGGUAACUUUCAGACCAGUGCAUACUUACUAUACUUCUAAAAUAUGCAGCCCAUCCUUAUGGGAAUACACAUCAUCUUGAAAAACUUUUUUCACCCCUUCAAUAAGCAUUGAUUUUUUAAAAUUUUCACCUGAUUUCUGAAUAAAAUAAGGCUUUGUUUGUAAGAAUUGUUAAGGAAGAGCUUCAGGAAAUAUGAACCAUGGAUGAGCCUGACCCCUGGCAGCUGUCAUGAAAGAGCAGAGACACAGUCCUCAAGUGAUUUCUGGGAACACAUGACCAGUCAGUCCAUCGCUGUAUUUCUCCCAGACUCUUUCUAUUUUCCAUGCAUCAUCAUGUUUGCUGUAUUUGAGAUGUUGCUAAGCAAAACGAUAUAAAAGAGUGUUUUUUUUUCCUAAGGCAAUUAAGUUUAGCAAAUGCUACUCUAAAAUGAUGCAGAAGUUCCUUAGAAAAAUUUUAGAACUCCUUGGGUAGUGAUCUAAGAAUGCUCAUGAUAAGAAAGGAUAAAUGUAAAUAAUGAACUAAAAUGUCAUUCCACAGGAUAAAAUUUAUCAGUUCCAAGGACUUUGUAACUAUUGACAUCACUUAAGCCACAGUUUUGAAAAAUGUUCUCUGAAUUUUGCAAACAAAAGGCCCUCCUGAUCUUUUUCUUCAAAUUCAUUGGCCUCUAUGAAUUUUUCCCUUUAAAAAUUAUAUACUGCAACCUUACUUUAGCAAAAAAAAAAAAAAAAGAAAGAAAUAAAGAGAAGAAAAUACCAAAAUUACAACUUAAGCAUUUGUUAGAAAAGUUUGCACUGUGGUCUCCUUUUCAUCUUAUCUUUCUUUUGUCAAGUUUUCUUCAGAGCUCACUCUCAGAACGAGAGAUCUAUGGAUUCUAUAGUUCUGUGAUAAACUUUUAGAAGAGGAGUUAUAAAGCAUGUUCAUAGUAUCUCAAGCACAUAAUCCUCAUCCUCAGCAAACAUGUCCUCUAUAGAGUUUAAAAUGGUGAAUCUUCAUGACUAAAGGGGAGGAAUGAGCUUACCUAAGGGUUGGCAGCAUCCAUCUUGCUACUUAUAUAAAGAAGCCAAAAUGCAAUGGGUUGGGAGAGUAAAGAGUGAGCGAUUACACUUUUGGGUCUCCAAAGGUAGCACUAUCUGUGUGCAGGUCAACCCAGAGUAAGAUACAGGGUUUCUAGAUGAUACUAUGGGUUUCCAAACAAUCUGCCUGUCCUCCUUAACAUGCUGCAGUGUCUGAGAUUCCACCAUCAAGUCUCAUCAGGUCCUUUGGAAUUAGAUUAUCCAAAUAGGUAGAAGGGCCCCAAUUGAAGGAGUCAAAAGGCACAUAAGGAAAUAGGAGCAGCAUAAGGGGCUGAAAAGAAGCCACGGGCAUAGAGUGAUGCUGUUCAAGGCAGGUCUAGGGGGCAGGACCGUGGGAGGAGCUUGGAGAGCAAAGGAUAUUAUGAAGGACAUUAGCUGCUUGAGGACUGAAGGAGUGUGGGCAUCUUUAAAAGGAGAUUGCUGAAAGACCUAGAAGGUUUUCCUGCUUGCUAAAUUUGCCUUGCAAGAUAGCAAAUUUGUGCAGUCUUGUACCUCAUGGGAGGAGGACCUCUACGUGGCUAGGCUUCCACUUUGUUUGCCUUGUUCGUCUGGCCUGGAUGAAGAUUGUUGUCAGAGAACAAGGAAACAGAAUUCUCUUUCCUCUUGGGCCUGGGAAAACCCCACUCCCUGUAUGGGGAUCAGAAGGAAGAAGGAAUGGUACAGUAUAAGAUCUUACUUGCCAAUAGGCUUUUAAAAAGUCUACCAGGUGAUGACAUUUUCCACCAACAUUUUCCACUCUUUUGGUGUCCCAAUGAUGAUUUUGCUGAUAACCAGAAAUACUAGAAGCCUAGUUUAUGGAACUCUGUUAAUAUCUUUUUUUAAAAAUUAUGCAUUGCUUUACUACUUCUUUUUAUCUUUAGGAUGACUAAUUUCAUCCAGUCUUGGGUGUGUUAAGCCAAAAUUAUUUGGUCAAAAUUAAAUAUACAUAUGUAUGUAUAUGUAUAAAUAUACUAAAUAAUUAUAUUUUUUACACACCUAUGUACAUAGAGGUGUCACUACUAUCCAAGUAAGGACAUAAAGAAAGGUCAGGAUCACAGUGAGACUGCUGGAAAGUCUCUUGAAGAAUUUUUAUUCAAGGAUCUAAAUACUGAAUUACCCAAAAAGUAACACAGUGAGAAAUACUAGGGUUUUACUGAAUGAGAAAAAAAAUACAAUCCGUGAUUUUUUCCUACCCUACCUCAGUGGUGAGUAUUCAGCUCAUUUGGAAGGAUAUUCUCAUUUGUAAGAUCCAAAGCCUUUCAUCAUUUCUGAGCAUGACGUCCAUUAAAGGCAGGCCAGGUGGUGCCAGCUGCACUUGCUGAAAGAAAUCACACGGUUUCAUUAUGUAGAGUAAUGACAGAAGAAUGGGUAGUUCAGACCAGCUGGAUCCAUCUCUGCCACGUUCUCAGUGUGUGUGGGCAUACAUACACACAUGCUCGCACAUACACAUACUCCAGAAAAAAAAGACUCAGAAGUUCUGAAUUUCUGGAGGCAGAAAUUCCUGGUGCCUGUGGAAUCUGGUAUCUUCUGGUCUGGUAUGAUGAGCAAAGCAGUGGCUCUUGCUCAUCGUGGAGACUAAAUCUGCUCAUUAAAUUAAGUAAAAACUAACUAAAUUAUUAUAUGACUUAUAACAUAAGCCAUGCAUAGCCAAUAACAUGAGACACAGCUAUUGCCACAUUUUCUUCUCUGUUACAGUAAUAAUAUCAAAUAUAUACAGUAGUUAUAGAGUCUGUAUUGUUCUAAUUGCUUAACUUAAACUCACUGACUCCUCAUAAUAAUCUUCUGGUGUAAGGAUGAUUACCACCUUCCUUUACCAAUAGGGAAACUGAGGCACGAUUAGUUAGGUUAUUGUUCAAGAUCCCGCCAUUAAUGGUUGGUACUGGAAGUGUUGAUCGAACAGUGUGGGUGUCCAUAAAUAAAGGCAUAUAUUCGGGCACCUGAAGUACAUCUUACAAAGAUUUCAAUUCAUCUCUAGCAUCCUUUGUGUACCAUAUUCCAUUCACUUCAAGCCUAUCUGUGUGGAGUGACACAUUCUAACAGAAAGAGGGAGAUUGCAUAAUGGAAAAGGCGUCCGGGAACCAGGUUGGCAGCAUAGGCUGCUCAGUUGACCCUGGAAAGUGACUCAGAGGAAGGUGUUUCUGGUGUCCAGAAAAAGCCUUAUGGCACUGAGAGGAAGGAUGAAAGGAAACCAGUGAGUGUUAUGGUCCCCGAGAGUGUAGGCAUUGCUUUCAAAUUUAGUAAGAAAGUUGCACAUACCAAAUAUAAUGGGGUCUCUCCUUUAUUAGCCACAUUAGUAUUAAGGCCUUUUCAUAUACUUCAUUUAAAACGUUUUUUUCUUUUGAAUACAGUUGACACACAACAUUAUAUUAGUUGCAGGUAUACAACAUAGUGAUUCAACUAUUCUAUACAUGAUGCUGUGCUCACCACAAGUGUGUAACACCAUACAGUGUUAUUACAAUAUCACUGACUACAUUACCUAUGUUUGUACAUAUUUCAUUUUUCUUCUCCAAUUACAAGGGUGACAUAAAUGCCUAUAUGGGAAAUUCUGUAAAAGUCAUGUUCAAGUUUCUUUUUCUAUUUUCCAGACCUACCUGGAGGUUUUAUUUCAUACUCCUUUUGGAGAGUGUUUGAAAUUUAUUCUUCUGGAGGAAGACUAAAUCUGAAUAUAUUCUGUAAACCCUUCAUCUGAAGUUCAGAUCACUGGAAGAUCAGUCAUCUUCCAAGUUAUAUAGUCCCCAUUAAAUGCAAGAAAUGAGACUAUGUUUCGGGGGGUUGUGUGGUUGCAGAAUUAGUUUCAUUAUUUUGUAUUUGAUGUACUCAUAUAUAAAGCCAUUAAGUGCAGCAAAUUUAUGGGCUUGUGGCCUGCCAGUGGCCAUGUAGCUCAUUAGUGAAUGAGGAAGGAGAUUAAAUCAGUAAUGUUCCAGAAGAAAACCCAAAAUAUAAAAGGUAGGGGGCAGUAGUAAAAUUAAAACUUAGUGAGAUGGGUCUGAGUACCCCUCAGUGAAAGUAUCCUGACAAUACACCAGGCACACUCUACAAGGAAUCCUUGCUGGUCUGGAUGACUUGCAAUAUUCCUCCUGCCCCAGCUCUAGGAGGUUAUUAAUUCAUUUCACAGAAAACUAAAUUUUUUAUAUGCAUAGACAUCUAAGCAUUUGGACAUUUAAUGAAACCAUUUCAAAUAAUAAGAAAUUAAAAUACAGCCCUGUAAUUUUUUUGAAGCAUGUGAACUUGGUUUUCUAAAAACCCAAGAGAUUGUGAUGAGCUUUCCGUAGUGCUGGGGCUCAGAAUUGGGGCUGAGCAAGUAGGCAAGGGCUGUGGUUCCUGAGGCCUGGUCAUGUCCAAGGAACAGACAUGGUAGAGAGAAAGGAAAGGGAGGGAGGAAAAUUAAAAUAACAUGAAUGAUGGUGAUCAUGAUGCUAAAGUAAUCAUCACACCAAUCACAUCAGUUAAUCAUGGAAGUUCUCAUUUUUUACAAGAGGAACUGAGUCUCAGGCUCUUGAACCCCAGGGUCACUUAAAUUGGCAGAAGCAGGACACAGAUUUCAGAGCUAUGACUCUUAAUUCUCCUGAUUGCCUGUGAGAUCAGGUGGGCUCACCUAUGCAGUGGCUUGCUCAGCCCAGUAUGCACAGCUCUCUAUAAAAGACAGGUCUAAAAAGGGAAGAUCACUUCCGAAUUCUGCUGUAAGCCUCAUGAAUUUAAAAUGUCAGUACUUUGGGGGGUGCCUGGGUGGCUCAGUCGGGUAAUCAUCUGCCUUCAGCUCAGGUCAUGAUCCCAGGGUCCUGGGAUGGAGCCCCUUGUUGGGUCCCCUGCUCAGUGGGGAAUCUGCUUCUCUGUCUGCUCCUCCCUCUGCCCGUUUUCUCUUUCUCUCUCCCUCUCUCUCUCCCUCUCUCGCUCUCUUUCUCUGUCAAAUAAUUAAACGAAAUCUUAAAAAAAAACCCCAAAAUAUCAGUACUUUGGGCAGUCUAAAGUAUAUUGCACAUCAGCCUCCUCCAGACUCACCUUUCUUUAUAUUAAAUGGAAAGAAUAUUAAUGAACCUUAGAGGUCUAUUAAAUAUUAUAAACUCAAUUCCCUAUUUUGAUGGACCAGGAGAAAAUGAAAAAUGAUUGAGUCAUUAAGAAAAAGACAGUGUAAAAAAAUAAUAAAAUAAAUAAAAUAAAAAUAAAAAAAGAAAAACACAGUGUAGAAGUCAAGUUUGGUUUUGCUUUGUGACCCGAACUUUGUUUUGUUUUUCUCUAUGUUUGAAACAUAGUGUUUUCUUUAUGUUUGGUUGUAUUUCUCUAUUCCAGGAAGCAUGAAAAAAAGAAAACCUUCCUUCAGACUUUUCUAGUAUUAUUCCAUAGCCAAGAGGACUAUUACUGUUUAUGGGUCUAUUGGCUAUUGGCUAAAGUUUCCUUUACCUAAGAGUUGUCACUCUAGGACAGUGAUUCUUAACUGGAAAUGACUUUGCCCCCAGUCCCUAGGAGGGAUAUUUGUUAAUCUCUAGAGACUUUUAUUUUUUUUAAUUGAGAGCAUGUGCUCACACUUGGGGUGGGGUAGGAGAAGAGGGGCAGAGGAAGAGAGAAAGAUCUCAAGCAGCUAUGCCCAGCUCCCUAUGUGGAGCUUAAUCUCAUGACCUG
rnacentral:lncRNA from 1 species